rnacentral:rRNA from 1 species
AUGGGUAUGACCUUUGCAUCACAAUGGGAGGCUUGCACGUUCUACAAUAACUAUGCCAGAGAACAUGGAUUCAGUAUCAGAAAAGAUAAGGUGAAACGAGGAAAAGGUGUUUCAACCACUAUUCGGUAUAGGCGGUACAUUUUCUCGAGGGCAGGAAAACGACUGAGUAAAUUUUUAAACCCAGAGGGCCGUACCCGCAGGCUAAGACCCAAGACUCAUUGCGAGUGUGGCACACAUUUGGUCGUGACGUUGGACAAAGGACGUGGAGUUUGGUUCGUGGCAGCUUUUAUGGAUGAUCACAACCAUUUGUUGUCUAGAGCAGAUGAGGUGUUAUUUCUGCGGUCACAUAGUGUGAUGGGAGAUCACCAGAUAGCUGAGAUCUUGGCGAUGGAAGGAGCCGGGAUCAGAAAGCAUAUCAUCAUCGAUAACUUCAUUAGCAGGUAUGGUUCAUACGAUAAGUGUGGGUUUCUCAGACGAGACGUCUGCAUCCUAUGUUGCCGAGACAAAAUGAAGUUGAUUGCGAAGGGUGAUGCUAACAUGACAAUAAGGAUUAUGAGGAGUAGAAAGGAGAAGGAUCCAGACUUCUUCUUUGAGUACGUGCUCGAUAAGGAGGGCCGUUUAAAAAGCAUGUUCUGG